rnacentral:lncRNA from 1 species
CACAGAGAUGAAAGCACUCCAUUGCAUAAAAGUUAAAAAUGAAAGCACAGUUGUUCCAGUACAAGAGACGGUGAAACGUUAAGUUUCUGCAGAAACAUAAACACAAACACAUGAUCUACAACUUCAAUUGAAAAGGAAUCGAUUAGAAUUUGAAAUGAAAGCAAAAGUUAAGUUCACAGUGAUUCAUACCUUCACAGAGAUGAAAGCACUCCAUUGCAUAAGAGUUAAGAAUGAACGAACAGUUUUGAAGAUUAUCGCAACAACACCUUAAUUAAUAACACAGUGACUAUUGGUCUUCUUCUUAUUCAUAUUAAAUACCGUAGUCUUCCUCUUCUCUAUAAAUUAUUAUUAUUAUUAUUAACAUACGUAUUGUAAUUUGAAAUUUGGUAUAUAAGAACAAUUUAGCUGUAGUAGGUAAAGUCUUUAAAAAAAAAACUUGUUUAACCUAUCAGUUGUACAACCCUAAUUAAUAAUGUGAAAACAGAUACAUCAGACAUAAUCCACUGUUCAUCUCUUUGAAUUAUUAUUAAAUGCAAUGAUUAUGAAUUUUAAGAAAAAUAUCAAACAAAUUAAGAUGAAAAUUAAAUGUGACACAUAAAAUAUAUAUAUAUAUAUAUAUAUAUAUAUGUGGAUGUAAAAUAAUUGUAAUAACAUUAAUAUAUAUAUAAUAUUUUUAUUCACUCCUAUUUUAAAUUUAUCUUAAUUUUAUUUUAUAUGAAAUUGAUGCAAAUUAAUUGAAUAUUAGUGAUUUGAUUUUAGUUUUUUGUUGUAAAAUAAUAUUAGAAAAAUAAAUUAUAUUAAUUUAAAAGUAUACAAUUUUAUUAAAAAAAAAAAUCCGUGUAAUUUUAUAGAAUGUUAUUAAUAAAAUAAAUGUAAAUAUUAUUUAUAAUUUUAUAAAUUAAUUACUUCAUAAUUAAUCAUCUUUCAAUUUUAAAUCAUACCCAAUUUUAUUAAAAUUAAAUUAAGAGAUUUUUUUUUAAAAUUUAUUAUAUGAUUUAAUUAAUUUAAUUUUUUUAUCACAUUAAUUAAAUCUACUGUAAAUUUUUAAUAUUAUUUUUCCUUUAAUCUAAACAACUUCAUUUUCUUUCUUUUCUUUAAUGAAAAAACUUAAAUUUAAUUAAACUUAAACAAAUUACUAUAAUUAUUUUAAAUGAAUUUUACUUUUAUUGUGUUUACUUAACAUUUGAUAGAAAUUAAAAAUUAGUACGAAUGUUUCAACAAAAUUUAAAUUCAUCCUAAAAUUUAAUGUAAAAAUGAAAAGUGGAAAAUGUAUUAAAAAGUUAAACUGUUGCUUUCGAGGAAAAUUGAAUCUAGUAUUCAAUGUAAUAAAAAAAAAUAGAAAUGGUGGAUUCUUGUUUCUUAGAUUGACCGUUUAAAAAAAAUCAAAUGUUAUAUACCUAAUAUAUAAACUUUAUUACAAAAAUAAAUACAAUUGUUUUAUAAAAUAGUAAUAAAUAUAACUUAUAAUAAAUAUUUAUCUAGUCUGUUUUUAAAAUUAUCUAUGAAUAUAUAUAGUAUAUUUAUAUAUCGUUUUUAUGAAUAUAUGAGUUUUGGUUUAAUUCUCAUAUUUUAUAUUUUUUUAAUAAUAUUGUAUUCAUGUUGAUUACAAGUAAUUGUUGUUAUUUAAAAUGUUUGUCUGAUUGAGAUGUCAAGUUACUUAAUAAUGUUCGACAUAAAAAUCAUUCUGAUUAAUAUCAAAAUAUUAGCAACGUAAUAAAUGAGGAAUACUUUUUGCCAUUAAUCUUAUGUAGUUCAAUCAAUGUAUUUGUAAAGUAGAUGAGAUUUGCAACUAUUGUGGCUCUGAACACUUCCUAAUUAUUGAUGUAGAAGAGGUUCAAUUGUGUAUAUUAAUCAAUUAUUACCAUGAAAGUUUCUACCUUAAUUUUAUAGCAAAAAAGUCUCAUCAUUUUAAUAUAAGCUAAUAUGGUCCAAACAAAAUACUUUUAUUUUUCUUUUUUGGCGUGCUUCUAAGCAAGUGGUUACCAAUUUCUUUAAUUUUAAACAAAAUGCCAACACUUCAUCAAUUUGCAUUAGUUAAAUGCAACAUGAAGCGACCAAAAAAGCCUGGAAAAUUUCAGUAAACUUAACUAUUGUUUUAAAAAUUUGAGUUGUGUAUUAAAGAGAUAAAUUUGAAUAUAAACACAAAAAAUAUUAAUUUUUAAUAACUUCAGUACAGUGACAUAUGUUGUUAGCUACACCAAGUUUGUUUAACAAUUUUAUUAUGAAAAUCUUUUAUUGUAUAUAUUACUUUCUUCUUUUUUAUUUAAUGUAGGACUUAAAUUUUUUGGAUUCCUAUAAUUUUGUUGGGUUUAUUAUUGUAGAGCAUAAAGAUACUUUUGGUUGCAUAUGGCUAAGACAGUGAAAUGUUGAAUAUAAGUGAUUGCAGCAUUAGAAGAAAGAGGAAUGUCAAAUGGGCCAAUGUAGCACUCAAUGCAACUCCUUUUCUCUCUCAAACAUAAUUUAUCCCUUAAAUGCUUUGAAGUCACACACUACUAGGACUCAAUAUUAUUAUGCAUGGAAUCAUAUCCACAAAGAUAUGGUGAAGUGAUUAAAGCAUACAUAAAAUAAAUAUAAGCUACACUCAUUGAAGGAAGGAACAUAAAAGAAAUGGUUUUUGUAAUUUUGUCUCACCAAGAGCAACCUCUUACACAACAAUAAAUAAGAUAGCAAACAUACAACAAAAUAGAACAAGCAAAAGACUGAAGAAUAUUGUGUAGUUGCAAGUUACAAGUCUUUCUUUUGAGUGAUGAACAAUUUGGUCUUUAAUAACAAUGAACAAUGAAAACCCUCAUGAGGAAUUUCUACCAGUCAUGCGAUUGUACUCAUAUUGACUACAUAGAACUGACCAUUUAUAAGUCACCUCAAAUAAUUUUUGUUGAACUUUUCUUUCAUCUUCCACAAUUUGAGACUGGUCUUUCCUCACAUUUUCAAGCUCCAUUUUGUACCCAAUAGUUUCUGCAAUUCUUUUAUUUUUUUCAUCUUCCAGAGAUGAUAAGGCAUCCUCAGAAACUUUUAUUUCUUCCUUCAACCUAAUGAUUUGUUCCUUCAAAACUACUUCCUUCAGUUGAGCUUCAUCAUAGAAAUUCUUUGCCUCAGAAAUUUUGGAACCAAGAGUAGUGGCCAUCUCAUUCCCACGAGCUUCAAGUUCUGCCAACUUCUCAUUGGUAGCAAAACCUUGCUUAAAGGAGCAUGCAAUGCUUGGGAACUCUUGUUGCAUAAUUUCUAUAAUAUCUUUGAGUCCAUCUGAUAGAGUUACAUCUUUGAAAGGAAGGUUGGACAGGAAAUUAAUAGCAGACAAAAGGCUAAUGCUGUUAGUCUCAGAGCUAACUAUGUCCUUCAAAGACAUCUUUAGAUACUUUUCCAACUCAACAAGGGUCUUUCCAACUAUGUUGUCUUCACUCUCUUUCCCCACAACAACUGGUGCAAAUAAACUCAUGAUAUCAUUGGCCCCAAAGUCUUGAAUAAUUUUAGGAUGGCCUCCACUUUCUUUAACAGUGUGGGUCUCAGUUUGACUGCUCCUAAUUUCACUCUUAGAGGAAUAAGAAGAAAAUAUAAUAGUAAAGACGUUAGCAUCAAGCCACAACAGUUGCACAACAUUGAGUUCCUUAAACCAUUUUUUAUCCAAGCAUAUUUGUUAGAGUGAUGGUAACAAAUUCAUUAAAUUUAAAUUCCAACUUGAAAUUCAGUACUUUUUGUUUUUUAAUUCCACUCCUGCGGCAAAUGAUAAAUCAGAAUGGCAACAUCAUUUUUAUGCUGACCAAAUAUGUUGGAAAUGUUAAUUGCAUAAAAUAAACUUACAUGUGGGUGUGAUUUAGUUUGAGAAGUAAAUAUUUGGUCCAACUGUGAGCUAGUGGAUUCGGAAUGAAUUGAUGAAACUGCCGUACUGGUGUACUUUUUUGUGGUUUUCUCUACAGCUUCUCGCUCAAUACUCUGCAUAAGAAAAAAAGAUAUUUACUAGCAGAGUUGUUAUUAAUGGCAGGUGCACAUGCAUGUUAAUUUAAAAUAAUUGAUGUUAUUUUUGUUUGCCAUUUACAUAAGGAAUUUCGGAGCUACUUACAAUUUCUCCAAGUGACUUUUGUCUGUUCAUCAAGCACAAUUCACUAAUCCGCUGUUUGUCCACCAAUGCCUAAACAAAGUAAUGAACUAGUGUAAAAUCACUAUACUCUUAGCACUUCAAUUUUAUCUAGUAGGAAAAAUAUUUAUUAGGCUCACAUUUGAGGGUGUUUCACGUAGAGGAAUACUCAAAUAAGAUGGAGUUAGCCUUUCAGAUGGUUGUGAGUUUGUUAAUGAUGUUGUUGUUCUUGGUAUUUCUGAAGUAGAAACUUUUGCAACAAAUUCUUUCUCUGGUUCUUCAUUUCUCGCAGCAUUGUGAUCAAUAGAAACAACACCUAUUUCACCUUUUUUACCAACCAAGUCAGAACCUUCUUCGAAGCUAUUGUUAACAUUCUGGGUCUUCACACAUCGAGAAUUUCUUUUACAGUUUUCAUUAGACCCAUCACCUUGUUUAACAACCUGGGUAUCUAGUACCAUAUCCACACUACAAGACCUGUGUAAAAAACUUAAAAUUUUCGCUUUAUGAAUCCCAAGAAAACAUAUAAAUUGAUGGUAUCAAUCUUGUAAGAAUUGCAAAUACCACUAGAAUGUAUAUUUAAAUAGAAAGAGAAAAUUCAACUUCAAAUUCACAAAAAAAUUGAUACAUUUUAUCUGGGCAUUAACAAAGUCAUUUAAGACUCAUAAUUUCAUUCAUUUUUUACAUUACAUAGUCAAAAAGUUAAAUGAUCAUACCUCUUAGGAUUCUCAUCCUUUUGUCUCUCUGCAAUGUCCUCUCUUAGCUUAGGAUCCUUCGUCAAAAUAUGUUGACGCAUUUCAUCUAUCCAUGAACUCUCAAAUCCAAUCUCAACAGCUUCUUCGUAUAGUUUAUGAAACUCUUUUUCUCUUUGAGGAGUAAGAUUAUCAACACUUUCCUUCUGAAGGAACAACAACAUAUCUGCCAAAAUUUUCAACCUCCAAGCUUGAAAGCGCUCACUAAACUUCUCACAAGCAUUCCAAAGAUGAGGAUAUGUUGUUAUCGCCUCCACCAAAAGAGCAAUUUGUGCAUCAUCCAGAUCAACAAAAUGUUUAUAUGUUCCCAAUCUUGUACAGAUAUCUGCAAAAGCUAUAAAAAGUUUGAAAAGUGAUAUGAAAAUAUAGGAUUGAAACUUGAAAAUAAGAAAUAAAAAACCUGAAGAAAUGUCAAUAUUGUUGUUAGAAUUAAUAUGUAUCUCUUUUUGUUUGUCCAAUAGGUUCAACCCUUCUUCUACUUGGAUUUCUUGGCUUGGCAUGAUUCCUGCCUUUCCUUCAUUCAUCUUAUCAUCUUGUUCAACAACCUUGGAAUGUUGUGCAAGUAUGUCCAUGCCACCAGAGUCAAUGUGAGUUGCAACACCACCUCCAAUGCUAAUGUCUUCAACACCAGUUGACAAAGGUUUUGUCUUAUCACCCUUUGCUGAAGGCCCCUCCUUAAUGCUCUCAUUUCCUAUGUUUUCAAUCUCCUUUGUAUCACAAAUUGAAAAAAUUCAAUUGAGUGAGAGUUUAUAAAGUUUGAAAGGACCACUUUUUUAAUGUAAAUCAUGUUAGUUUCAAUAAUUUCUUCCUUAGGUUUGAAUAUGCUUUUGUUUGUCUACCAAAGAUGAUUUUUCACUUCAGGAUUUUUAAAUGGUUUAGGUCGGUCUAUCAAAUAUAUAUGAUUCACUCAUUUAUUGUCCAUCUACUACUCUUAUAAGAAAUGACCAACUAAAUGCUAAAGUAUCUUAAACAUUUUUAACAAAUAUAACGAAGUUAUAAAUGACAAGGUUUUUCUCUUUUAAUUAAUUGAUUAGUCAUGGAGAUUUUUAAUGUUGUCAAACUUUGUCUAGAAUUACAAGACACUAUAAGAAAAUUAUUAAAUAUAAAUUAAUUUUAAAGACUAAAAAUAAUAAGUCAUUAUAUUUGACUAAAUUUGAUUUUAUUUUAGAAAUUUAAAAAAUUAUUAGUAUCCAAAUAGUUUUUAUUAUUAUUAGUAAUUAUAGCUAAUUUAAUAUUAAUUUAAAAAUUGAUUUAUAAGUAUUUAGAAACUAAUUUAGACAUCGAUAAUUUUUUUAUUCUCUAAUAUAAUAUUUAAUUUAAUUAAUAUAAUAACUAAUUAUAUUUUUUUUUAAAGUUUGAUUUCUAUUUAAUAAUUUUCAAUAAUGACACAUAUAUUACUCUCAAACUUUAUUGCAUUCUUUAAGGAAGUUUUAAUUUAAUUUUUAUAAAUUUUAUUAAUAAUAAAAACUAUUUUAAAUACUAAUAAUUUUUUUAAGUUUAUAAAAUAAUAUCUAUCUAAUUUAGUCAAUAUAAUAACUAAUUAUUUUUUUAUUCUAAAAUUAGUGUCUACUUAAUAUUUUUUUUUUAGUAUCUUAUUUUAUUGUUAGCAAAAAUAUAUAUUUUAAGAUAAUUUUUUUUUUUACUUUUAUGAUUCAAGUACUUAUUUAAAAUCUCAAAUCUUAUAUUUUUUCUAUCACGUAAGUUUAAAUUAAAAAAAAAUCCUAAUAAUGAGACAAAAAGGUUAUUAAACUUUUUGUUUAGUUGUAUUUAUAUUCAUAGAUUGGUUGGUUCUGACCUGUGGUGAAGUGAACUCACUGCUACCACUAAUAGUAGAAUCUUCAUCUAAAUAGCUCAUGUACUCCCUUAAGUCCCAGUCUAAAAGUCCAGUGUUUUUUAAAUCUGUAACAAAAAAAUAUAUAUAUUAGGGAAUUCAUGUGACAAUGAAAGACAUACCAAAAAGAAAUGCAACCUUAGCUUUCCAGAUGGAUCAUUAUAUCAUUACAAUUAAAUAUGAAAAAUGAUUUAAAAAGUUUCAUGGAAUUUUUUUAUCACCCAUGAAAAUAAUGUGGUGACUCUGUCUUAGGAAUCGUUUUCUUUAUUUUAUUUUUAUUUUUUAUUUUUUUAUCAACAUAUCAUUUUCUUUGUAACAUUUCUUCCUAUAAUUAAAAUUACUAGAGCUUAAAAUUAAAAAAAUUGAAGCAAAUAAUAAUUUAAUGUGUUUAUUAGUGAAUACUAGAUUGGAAAUUUGAAACAGUAUUCUCUCUUAAUGAAAUAGUUAAUUUAUAAAUAUAUUUUCUUUAGGUGAAAUUGAGGGACGAUUUGUCUCAAACCAUGCCAAUAUCAUAUGAAAAUAUUAUUCUAUAAACUACUAACAUGUAACAAUUUAUAUUUGAAGACUCUAUAGUAUUUAUCUUUAUAAGGAAAAGUUUCCUUCAGCUCUCCAAAAGUAGUUGUUGGAGUCAAAGAGAGUUUUGGACUUUCGUAGACAACACAAAUUUUUAAACUCGGCAAUUCAAUCUCUUGAUCAAAGUUUGACAUAUGCAUAAAUAUUAAAAGUUUCACUCUUGGAAGCUCAACUUUUUUCUUUUCUAUCCUGUCACCUUUUUCUUGUCCACAUCCAACAAGUUCUUCUAGUUUAGAGGCUCCAUUUAUGAUCAAAAGAUAAAGAUUGGGAAAGUCAUUAGAUGCAGAUCCAGAGAUAAAUCUUUUCAGCUUAUGGCAAUGUCCAACAUACAAUUCUUUUAGUUUUGGGAAGCAUGGCUGAGGAGAAAGAAGAUUAGACAUUUUUUUGUCUUCCAAAUCCUCUUCAAUGAUUUCUCUUAAUUCUUUGCAUUUUCUUAUUUUCACACUUUUUAACUCUGGUAGGCAUCUUAAAACAUACUUUGGAAAUAUUACUUCCAAUUUUGCACAUCCAAUUAUUUCUAAUCUUCGAAGAUUUGGGAGGGUAAAAGAAUUGUUUGGAGCUCCUUGUUCACAUCCAACAAUCUGCUUCAAUUCCAUGCAUUCUUUUAUGAUUAGGAUUUUCAACUUUUGUAAACUUCUUAAAACAGAGGGAGGAAAUAUUUCUUUCAAUUUUGCACAUCCCAAUAUUUCUAAUAUGGUAAGAUGUUGGAGAUUAAUUGAAAUCUUGGAAGCCACCCAAAUAUAAGUCAUUUGAGGUAGAUUUUCCAAAAGCAAAUACUCUAACCUUAAACUCACUUGUUGCCCAACCAUUCCAUGUCCAUUAAGACAAAAAAUAUCUUCUACUUCACAAUUCCUUAUGGAUAGAUCUUGCAAACUGAAGAAAUGGCUUUGAAACCGUUUUAGAUCCUGCAGGACAUUAAUAAGAAAUAUAAAAAAAUCAAAAUAGAAAACAAAAAGGAGCACAUAACUAAUAAUUAUAAAAAUAAAAACAAGACUACUUACGCUAAUAGGCUCUCUUGAAUUGGUAGGAACAGUCAAACAACUAACGGGAUUGUAAAAAGGAUAGGAAAAUCUGUCACAAGAAAACUUCUUCAAAGAUGGCCAUGUCACAGUGAGAGUGUUGGUAGCACAAAUGCUAACAAAAUUUGGUAGAUUGUAAAGAGAGAUUUUUUCCAAUGCGGAAAAAUGAAUAUGAAUCUCAUCACAAUCCUGAUUAGCUACGGGAUAUUGGCCAAGCAUAUAUUUCAGUUGGUCACAGUCACGCACUGAAAGCUUUCUUAAGUUUGGAAAGAUAGCAUUCAAAUUCUCUUUGCCAUAUUCAUCUUCAAUGUCUAUAAUGUGCUCAAGUCCAUGACAUUUCUCAAUUCUCAAGAUUUCCAACAUCAAUGAUGAAACUAUAGACGGCUUAAAAAGAUAUUUUACCUUAUCAAAGCCUUUCAGUUCAAUCUCUCUUAUAUUAUGCAUAAUAAGCAAGUUCAAACCCUGAGGUUGUUUUGAAAUAUAUUCAACACUUUCAAGUGGGGGAACAAAAUCCGAGUUUGAUAUCUGCAAUAUAUACACCAAGUUACUUCUUAAACCAAACUAAUUAGUAUCUUAACUCUAAUUAUGAAUGCAUUUCAUUUCUAAUAUUCUUCGUGUAAAUUAAAAUUUUAAGAUAUACCACUCAUUGUUUAGAUUCACUUGUUUGUUUAUGAAAAUAAGUGCUUUUUGUUUAGCCCAACGAGACAAAGUUAAAAAGAGAAUAAUUUCACCAAAGUAAUUUACUCAAAAUAAUCUUUCCAAAUACUUAGAUAUUAAAAAUUCAUGUUGCACAUUUGGUAUGAAUUCAGUCACCAAUAAGUUGUAGUGCUUGUAAGACCAUUUUUUAUUUUUAGCACAAAUAUUUAAAUUCAAAUCUUUAGAGUAAUUUUUGAAAUACACGAAAAGAGAUGUGAAGUAAGUGAUAAAUAAUCAUACAAGAGAUGCAAAGUAAGUGAUAAAUAAUCAUACCUUGAUUGAAAUAUAAUCCCCAUGUCUAGCUUUUGAAGCAUCCGUUGAACAAUUUAUCAUGAAAAACCCAAUAUAUAUCCCAAUACCCAAUGAUAAUGUUCUCAAAGAUGGACAUCUUAUAGGAUAGCUAUCUAGAAUGGUGCUAUCCAGGGUACGAUCAAGUUUGAGUACUUCUAAAGCAGGAAGUUCAAAUAGAGUAUUCUUUUGUUUUUGGUGACAAGAAUUGUCUUUGAAUUUAUUUUGACUUGAAAAAUCUUUCAAAUCAACAAUCUCUUCAUCUCUUAUAUCAUUCAAUUUCAUCAUGCCUCCAACAAAAGAGAUAGGGAAUAUACGUUGCAAUAAGUCACAUCCACUGAUAUGUAGCACUUUCAAACCCUGGAAGAUUGAAAUAUCACUAUGAAAGUCAUGGUCAUCCUCGCCAAUAUUUUCCUUAUGAUUUUGAUUGACCCUUUCAUGAGUUACUAUAAGCUUCAAGCUAAGGCAAUUUUGAAUGAACAAUUCUUCCAAAGAAGUCAAGGUCUUAGCUGUAGAUGCUGUAAAAAUUGAGCCUAACUUCGGACAACAAAAUAUUUUAAGGCUUGUAAGGCUUGAUAGAGUUCCUGAAAAACAAUUAUAAAUAAUAAAAAUAUCGCUAAACAUAAUAGAGUUGAUUAUAUAUAUGCUAUGUGUGCAAGUUACACAUUUUGAUUUUUAAAACAUUGGUUUAUAGGGACUAAAACCAACAUCCUAAGCAUCAAAUGAUCAAUUAAUAAUGAUGAAAAGAAUCAUACAAAACAAUUUUCUUUAAAUAAUUCUAAAUUAUACACAAAAUUUAAAAUGCAAAUAUGGCUGUCUUUAAUUUUGACUGAGACAAAUUUUGUCGGUAGUGUAUUAUCAAAUUGUUAGUUCAAGUAAAACUAGAUUAGUAAUGUCUCAAGUUUGAACCUUACGAAUGGAAAAUAAUGAUCGGGACAAAAUAAUAUACAAUUAAUAUACUUAAAUUUUUCAUAUAAAAUAGUAGAUUCACAAUUUUUGUGUAACUUGUAAAUAACUUCAACUAAGCAGCAACAUGUAGACUUACUAAUACAUGCUUAAACAUACUUAGAAAUGCAAAAAGAAAAAAUGUACCUGAGCUAUGGUUUACAACUGCUGUUGAUGGAAUUGAAGUGCUAUACAAAUGUGAAUGCUUACCUUCCUCAAUGAUUUCAUCAAGUUCUUCUUUAUUAUCUUGGUCUGUUGAUGGAGCAAUAUCCCCAAUUAUUUGAUCUAGCAUGUCACAGUUUUCUAUCUUGAGCAUUUUCAAUUGAGUUAAGCCCUUUACAAUGUUGGUCGAGAAUAUAUGUUUUAAUUCUCUACAACUAUGUAUCUCUACUUUUUGAAGAUUUUGGAAGAUUUGUACAGGAUGUCUAGUGGUGAAUUCACCUUGACUUUUCUUCGUUUUGUCAUCAUCUCCUAAUAUAUGCUUCAGUUCAUCACAUGUUGAAAUUUUUAGUACUUUCAAUUGUACCAAACUUCGAGCAACGACAUACGUGAAAAGAGAUGUCAACUUUGGACAAUCACUAAAAUACAACUUCUCUAAGUUCUCAAAAGGUCCACUUAUAGGUUGAGAAAAAUGCCAUAAAGCUCUUAGAUUUUUCAAGUUAACCAUUCUGAGCUUAUACAACUUGGAGAAGGGAGAUACCACUGUACUCAAAUGGUUACUAGUGUCAAUCAAACACUCUAUCUCUUCAGAAUUACAUAUCUCAAACUUACUCAACUCGUCCAAACCUCCUCCUUCAAUUUGAAAUAUAUCAGGGAUGAUAUUUUUUGCGCCUCUCUGAAUAUUUGCUACAAAGAGAUAUGUUGCUUUUUUUGCCAAACCCUUAAUUACCUCAUUUGAUUUGUCAAAAUGGUUAAGUAAUAGAGUUCUGGGAGGAGGGUGAAAAUAAUUAUAAUUAUAAUCACCAAAGUUAUUGGAUCCUAAUACAAUUGCAUACCUUUGCAGUGUUUUGGGGACACUAAACGUGUUAAAGAAUUCAAUAUUGUCUUCACUAUUAGAAUCCCAUUCUCCUUCAAUAUCGACAAUGUACAACUCUUCCAGUAGUGGGAUUCUUUUGAUCACUUCGAAAUUCUUCCCUUUCAUUUCACAUUUGUACAAUUGUAACAAUUUUAAGGUUGUUACUUGUGUAAUUGCAACAUCGGUUUGUAAUUCAGGAAAUGAAGGCAAUGAACAACCAUUCAUCGAAAGACUUUGAAGUUUCUUCAUAUGGCUUACAAAUGAGAAGUCGCUCAAUUCAUAACCAGAAAUACCUAGAUAACGAAGAUUUGUUAAUGUUUUUAAACACAUUGUUGACAAUGGUGUUAUUCCAUCCUUAUCAUUGACUAGAAUCAAAACUUUGAGCAUUCUCAUUCUUUUGAAAAUUCCAUUAAAUUCUUCCAAUUUUGUCUUUAAAAAUAAAAACUCAAGAUUGGAACAAUCUAAAUCAAUUGGAAAUUUCACACACCAUAGAUAUCUUACUGAAUUUUGUUCAAUAGUCACAUCUUUUUCCUCUUCGCACUUGAUUAUCUUAUUCUCCUUCUUGGCUAUCAAGUGGGCCACAUCGCGAACUAUGUCAUGCAUUUUGACAUAUUCAUCCUCUUCAUCCAACAAUAAACAAGAACUGACGAGCUUAAUUUUGGCUGCAACCACUUCACUCCUUGCCUCCUCAUAAGAGUGUGCUUCUCCAACUACACCUAAUCCUAUAGCAUAUCUUGUUAAAACUUCAAUUGGAAUUUCACUAUCUUCAGGGAACACAGAACAAAAUAGGAAAAGUGAUUUGGCUUCUUUAGUAUCCAAAUUAUCAUAGCUCAGCUGCAAGCACUUGUAGGGAUCAAUCAAACCUCUUUCAAUAUUUAUUGGCUUAGAACUUCUCAACUUAUUCAAUGCAACAUUCCAUAUCGUCUCAACUUUUCCCUUCAAACUACUAGCAACAGCUGCAAUGGCAACAGGCAAUCCUUUACAUUCAUUGGAAAUUAAUCUUCCCAGAUUCUUUAAGGUAUCAGGGGUGUUUUUAGAUAUAAGUGCUUUAUUUUGGAAAAGAGUCCACGCUUCUUCAUCCGUUAAAAUUGGCAGGUAAAUCUUUCUUUGGCAAUCCAUUGAAGUACAAACUUCUUCUGAUCUAGUGGUAAUGAGAAUCUUGCAGACUGUAUGAUGUUCAGAGGAGGGAAUCCCAAUGCCACCAAAGUCAAGCUUCUCCCACACAUCAUCUAAAAUCAUAAGAAUGUUUUUCUCUUGGUUUAAUCUCAAGCACAAUCGUUGGGCCCUCUCCAUUACUUCAGUUUCUGGAAAUGUAUACUGCAGUGAACUUGCAAUUUUUUCUUGGAUCCUUCGAACUUCCACUGUACUAGAAAUAGGCACAAAAAGAACUUUUUCAAAACAAUGUUCUGCUUCUACUAACUUCAUAACCUCCAUUGCUAAUGUGGUUUUACCACACCCCCCCAUCCCAUACAAUCCAAUCAUGGCAACAUCAUUAUUUUUCACUGCUUCGAGCAGCUUCUCAUAUGUAGAUUGUCUACUCUCAAAAUUCAUGCAUUUUUCUGUGAGAAUAUGAAGGGUGCCUGAAGGAAGUGUAGCAAUGCGGUCAAAUGGCACAUAUUUUCUACCCUCUGCAAUGAACUUUUCAAGGUACACAUUUUUAUAUGCUAACUUUUUUCCUACACGAUAUUGCCAAAUCCAAUUUGGACAGUACCCAAAGCAACAGAAUUUUUUGGCUUUUGCCUCUUUCAACAACUGAUUCACAUUGUCUACGUCAUUAAUAGCAUCUUGCAACCACUUGUCAACAACUUCACUAGUCUUUCUUGUUUGUUUCUUGGCAUUUGUAACAAAUUUUUGGACACUGUCUUUCGUUACAAUCAAAUCGCGCUCUUCUUC